GGCGGCAGGCCUAACACAUGCAAGUCGGGCGGUAACAGGGAAGCUUGCUUCUCGCUGACGAGCGGCGACGGGUGAGUAAUGCAUAGGAAUCUGCCUGGUAGUGGGGGAUAGCCCAGAGAAAUCUGGAUUAAUACCGCAUACGCCCUACGGGGGAAAGCAGGGGGGGACUCUUCGGAGCCUUGCGCUAUCAGAUGAGCCUAUGUCGGAUUAGCUUGUUGGUGAGGUAACGGCUCACCAAGGCGACGAUCCGUAGCUGGUCUGAGAGGAUGAUCAGCCACACUGGGACUGAGACACGGCCCAGACUCCUACGGGAGGCAGCAGUGGGGAAUAUUGGACAAUGGGCGCAAGCCUGAUCCAGCCAUGCCGCGUGUGUGAAGAAGGCCUUCGGGUUGUAAAGCACUUUCAGCGGGGAGGAAAGGAUGGUUGCUAAUAUCAGCCGUCUGUGACGUUACUCGCAGAAGAAGCACCGGCUAACUCCGUG
rnacentral:rRNA from 1 species